rnacentral:lncRNA from 13 species
CAAUGUAUUCAAAUGUCUCUGUGUGUGUAUUUCAAGGUUAUGUGUCCCUUCCCUCGGUGAUUCUCUCUCCAGCUCCUCUCCCAUGUGACUUACUUCUUAUGGACUCAACAUUUUUUAAAUCUGUCUGUCUGUCUGUCUGUCUGUCUGUCUGUCUGUCUGCCUGUCUGUCUGUGUCUCUCUCUCUCUUUCUUUCUUUCUUUCUCUUUCUCUUUCUCCUGAGUGGGAAGCAGCCAGCAAUCACUAAACAAUGUCUGACAAUAUGGCCAAAGAGCAAAUAGAUCUCUGGGUUUUACAGAGUGCUCCAUUCAUCAUGACCCAUCCCAUGUAUGGAUUAGAUUAGAGAGAUGCAGAAAGGGAAGCAGCGCCUCAAAAAGUUGAGUCAAAACACACCAUAUUGAUUCAUUCAGUGAUGCUUGCAAACAUGAGUUGUAUGGUAACUUUAGAUGAGAGAGCUAGGAUCUAUUACUAGCAGUAGCUAGAUAUGUAGCUAGCAGUAGUAGUAAUGAUAUAGCAGCAGUUAAAGAAUGUGAUGUGAUGAGAGGUCUAGUACAUUUAAAAAACAGUUAUUAACCUGUUAAACUCGGAGUGGUUGUUCUGAACCCUGUACCGGUACACCUCCCUUUGGCCAUCAGAACAGCCUAGAUUUUGGAGGAGUGGUCAAAAGAGUUCCACACGGAUGCUGGCCCAUGUUGACUCUAAUGCUUCCCACAGUUGACUCCAAUGCUUUCCACUCCAAUGCUUCCCACAACCGGUGCUCCUGGCACCUACUACCAUACCCCGUUCAAAGGCACUUACAUUUUUGUGUCUCGCCCAUUCACCCUCUGAAUGGCACACAUACACAAUCCAUGUUUCAAUUGUCUCAAAGCUUCAAAAUCCUUCUUUUUUUCCCGUCUGUUUCCCUUCAUUUACAUUAAUUGAAGUGGAUUUAACAAGUGGUAUCUAUAAGGGAUCAUAGCUUUCACCUGGAUUCUCCUGGUCAGUCUAUGUCAUGGAAAGAGCAGGUAUUCUAAAUAUUAUGUCUACUCAGUGUAUAUUAUCAGUGGUUCAAAUCUGUACAUCUGCAAUGAAGCAUAGAGCUCCACCUUAGAGGCAACUGCCUGUCC